UACGAAGGGGGCUAGCGUUGCUCGGAAUCACUGGGCGUAAAGGGUGCGUAGGCGGGUCUUUAAGUCAGGGGUGAAAUCCUGGAGCUCAACUCCAGACUGCCUUUGAUACUGAAGAUCUUGAGUUCGGGAGAGGUGAGUGGAACUGCGAGUGUAGAGGUGAAAUUCGUAGAUAUUCGCAAGAACACCAGUGGCGAAGGCGGCUCACUGGCCCGAUACUGACGCUGAGGCACGAAAGCGUGGGGAGCAAACAGG
rnacentral:rRNA from 1 species